UUGGAACUGAUAUCAGGC
rnacentral:misc_RNA from 1 species